UACGUAGGUGGCAAGCGUUGUCCGGAUUUACUGGGCGUAAAGAGCGCGCAGGCGGUCGAUCAAGUCGCGUGUGAAAGCCCCCGGCUCAACUGGGGAGGGUCACGCGAUACUGAUCGACUCGAAGGCAGGAGAGGGUAGUGGAAUUCCCGGUGUAGUGGUGAAAUUCGUAGAUAUUCGGAAGAACACCAGUGGCGAAGGCGACUUACUGGACACAUAUUGACGCUGAGGUGUGAAAGCGUGGGGAGCAAACAGG
rnacentral:rRNA from 1 species